GACGAACGCUGGCGGCGUGCUUAACACAUGCCAGUCGAACGGAAAAGCCCAGCUUGCUGGGUGCUCGAGUGGCGAACGGGUGAGUAACACGUGGGUGAUCUGCCCCUAACUUCGGGAUAAGCUUGGGAAACUGGGUCUAAUACCGGAUAGGACAAUCGUUUAGUGUCGGUUGUGGAAAGUUUUUUCGGUUAGGGAUGAGCCCGCGGCCUAUCAGCUUGUUGGUGGGGUAAUGGCCUACCAAGGCGUCGACGGGUAGCCGGCCUGAGAGGGUGGACGGCCACAUUGGGACUGAGAUACGGCCCAGACUCCUACGGGAGGCAGCAGUGGGGAAUAUUGCACAAUGGGCGCAAGCCUGAUGCAGCGACGCCGCGUGGGGGAUGACGGCCUUCGGGUUGUAAACCUCUUUCGACAGGGACGAAGCUUUGGUGACGGUACCUGUAGAAGAAGCACCGGCUAACUACGUG
rnacentral:rRNA from 1 species